AGCAGCCGCGGUAAUUCCAGCUCCAAUAGCGUAUAUUAAAGUUGUUGCAGUUAAAAAGCUCGUAGUUGAAUUUCGAGACCGGCUUACUGGUCGUGCUUUUGUACGUACUGGUAUAAUCGGUUUCUCCUUUCUGACGAACUAUAAUGCCAUUAAUUUGGUGUUAUAGGGAAUCAGGACUGUUACUUUGAAAAAAUUAGAGUGUUUAAAGCAGGCUCACGCUUGAAUACAUUAGCAUGGAAUAACGGAAUAGGACGUUUGAUUCUAUUUUGUUGGCUUCUAGGAUCGACGUAAUGAUUAAUAGGGAUAGUUGGGGGCAGUUAGUAUUCAAUUGUCAGAGGUGAAAUUCUUGGAUUUAUUGAAGACUAACUACUGCGAAAGCAUUUGCCAAGGAUGUUUUCAUUAAUCAAGAACGAAAGUUAGGGGAUCGAAGACGAUCAGAUACCGUCGUAGUCUUAACCAUAAACUAUGCCGACUAGGGAUCGGAUGAUGUUAAUUUUUUAAUGUACUCAUUCGGCGUCCU
rnacentral:rRNA from 1 species